rnacentral:rRNA from 1 species
UACGUAGGGUGCGAGCGUUAAUCGGAAUUACUGGGCGUAAAGCGUGCGCAGGCGGUUUUGUAAGCCAGAUGUGAAAUCCCCGGGCUUAACCUGGGAAUGGCAUUUGGGACUGCAAGGCUGGAGUGUGGGAGAGGGACGCGGAAUUCCAGGUGUAGCGGUGAAAUGCGUAGAUAUCUGGAGGAACACCGGUGGCGAAGGCGGCGUCCUGGACCAACACUGACACUGAUGAGCGAAAGCCAGGGG